GAGCACGGGGUAUUAUAUGUAACUGAUGAAUAACCGAACUCUACAUCUGAAAAUAAUGAUGUACUAUGUGUUGGCUAAUUGAAUUUAAAUUAAAAAA